UAUAUAAAAAAUCAAAUAAAAAAAUUUAAAAAAAAGAAAAAGAACGGGGAUUACCUGAGAACGGGAGAAACAAACAGUGUGUAGGUUCAACAAAAUGAGGAGAAGUUCUCACUGAUCUCUGCACAUACAUCAACAACAAACUUAAAUUAAUUCAUUGAUAUAAAAAAAACAAAGUAACAAAAGAAAAUAGCCUGCAUAAUGGAGGUAGUACCCUUUCACCCAGCAACACUCACACCUCACAGUACCCUCUCACUCAAACGUCCCUUAUUAUAACAACUUGUAACAUUGCACUCUUCCAAUAAUAAAUUGACACGUCAUUAUAUACUACACUCUCCACUACUCUAUUGUCUACUAUAAAAUUUUACAAAUAAAAUUACUUAACUAACUUCGUCUUAUUUUA
rnacentral:lncRNA from 1 species